rnacentral:rRNA from 1 species
UACGGAGGGUGCGAGCGUUGUCCGGAAUCAUUGGGCGUAAAGGGCGCGUAGGUGGCCUGGUCAGCGUGCGGUGAAAGCUCGGGGCUCAACCCCGAGUCGGCCGUGCGAACUGCUGGGCUGGAGCACUGUAGAGGCAGGCGGAAUUCCGGGUGUAGCGGUGGAAUGCGUAGAGAUCCGGAAGAACACCGGUGGCGAAGGCGGCCUGCUGGGCAGUUGCUGACACUGAGGCGCGAAAGCGUGGGGAGCGAACAGG